UACGGAGGAUCCGAGCGUUAUCCGGAUUUAUUGGGUUUAAAGGGUGCGCAGGCGGCCAUUUAAGUCAGCGGUUAAAUCGUGGGGCUCAACCCCAUUCUGCCGUUGAUACUGGGUGGCUUGAUUGCGGUCGAGGUUGGCGGAAUUCGUUGUGUAGCGGUGAAAUGCAUAGAUAUGACGAAGAACACCGAUUGCGUAGGUAGCUGACCAGACCGCAAAUGACGCGCAUGCACGAAAGGGCGGGGAUCGAACAGGAUUAGAUACCCUGGUCGUCCGCACAGUAAACGAUGAAUACUUGAUUUCGGCGAUAUAAUGUCGGAGGCAAAGCGAAAGCGAUAAGUAUUCCACCUGGGGAGUACGCCAGCAACGGUGAAACUCAAAGGAAUUGACGGGG
rnacentral:rRNA from 1 species